rnacentral:rRNA from 1 species
CAUACUUCCAAGAAAAGCUUGCACUGUCAUAAACAAAUAAUGCCUGUACCAUAACCGACACAGGUGGGUAGGUAGAGUAUACUAAGGGGCGCGAGAUAACUCUCUCUAAGGAACUCGGCAAAAUGACUCCGUAACUUCGGGAGAAGGAGUGCCUUCUUUAGAAGGUUGCAAUAACAAGAUCCAAGCAACUGUUUACCAAAAACACAGGUCUCCGCUAAGUCGUAAGACGAUGUAUGGGGGCUGACGCCUGCCCAGUGCCAGAAGGUUAAAGAAGUUGGUUAGCAUUCGCGAAGCUGAUAACUGAAGCCCUGGUGAACGGCGGCCGUAACGAUAACGGUCCUAAGGUAGCGAAAUUCCUUGUCGGGUAAGUUCCGACCCGCACGAAAGGCGUAAUGAUUUGGAUACUGUCUCGGAGAGGGACUCGGUGAAAUAGACUUGUCUGUGAAGAUGCGGACUACCUGCACCUGGACAGAAAGACCCUAUGAAGCUUUACUGUAACUUGAAAUUGAAAUUGGACUUUAUUUGCGCAGUAUAGGUGGGAGGCUUUGAGAAUAAUCUUGCGGGAUUAUUGGAGCUAUCAGUGAGAUACCACUCUUGUAAUGUUAGAUUUCUAACUUUGGAUCAUUAUCUGGUCAAAGAACAGUUUCAGGCGGGCAGUUUGACUGGGGCGGUCGCCUCCCAAACGGUAACGGAGGCGCACAAAGGUUUCCUCUGAACGGGUAGAAAUCGUAUCUAGAGUGUAAAGGCAUAAGGAAGCUUGACUGUGAGACCUACAAGUCGAGCAGGGACGAAAGUCGGUCUUAGUGAUCUGACGGUGCUGAGUGGAAAGGCCGUCACUCAACGGAUAAAAGUUACUCUAGGAUAACAGGCUGAUCUCCCCCAAGAGUUCACAUCGACGGGGAGGUUUGGCACCUCGAUGUCGGCUCAUCGCAUCCUGGGGCGGUAGUACGUCCCAAGGGUUGGGCUGUUCGCCCAUGAAAGCGGUACGCGAGCUGGGUUCAGAACGUCGUGAGACAGUUCGGUCCAUAUCCGGUGUAGGCGUUAGAAUAUUGAGAGGAGCCUUCUCUAGUACGAGAGGACCGAGAAGGACAUACCUCUGGUGUACCAGUUAUCGUGCCAACGGUAAACGCUGGGUAGCUAUGUAUGGAGUGGAUAACCGCUGAAAGCAUCUAAGUGGGAAGCCCACCUCAAGAUAAGUAUUCUC